rnacentral:rRNA from 1 species
GACGAACGCUGGCGGCGUGCCUAAUACAUGCAAGUAGAACGCAGUUGCGAACGGGUGAGUAACGCGUAGGUAACUGCCUGGUAGCGGGGGAUAACUAUUGGAAACGAUAGCUAAUACCGCAUACUACAAGAUGGACCUGCGUUGUAUUAGCUCGUUGGUGAGGUAACGGCUCACCAAGGCAACGAUACAUAGCCGACCUGGUAGGGUGGUCGGCCACACUGGGACUGAUACACGACCCAGACUCCUUCGGGAGGCAGCAGUAGGGAAUCUUCGGCAAUUGGGGGAAUCCUGACCGGGCAACGCCGCGUGAGUGAAGGAGGUUUUCGGGUCGUAAAGCUCUGUUGUUAAGGUAGCGGUACUUAACCAGAAAGGGACGGCUAACUACGUGCCAGCAGCCGCGGUAAUUC